UACGAAUCGUCCUAACGUUGUUCGGAUUUACUGGGUUUAAAGGGUGCGUAGGCGGUGCGUUAAGUCGGUGGUGAAAUACUUUGGCUCAACCAGAGAAUUGCCGUUGAAACUAGCGCGCUCGAGGGAGGUAGAGGUGCAUGGAACUUCCGGUGGAGCGGUGAAAUGCGUUGAUAUCGGAAGGAACACCUGUGGCGAAAGCGAUGCACUGGACCUCUUCUGACGCUGAGGCACGAAAGCCAGGGGAGCGAACGGG
rnacentral:rRNA from 1 species